rnacentral:rRNA from 1 species
CCUACGGGUGGCAGCAGUGGGGAAUAUUGCACAAUGGGGGGAACCCUGAUGCAGCGACGCCGCGUGAGUGAAGAAGUAUUUCGGUAUGUAAAGCUCUAUCAGCAGGGAAGAAAAAAGACGGUACCUGACUAAGAAGCCCCGGCUAACUACGUGCCAGCAGCCGCGGUAAUACGUAGGGGGCAAGCGUUAUCCGGAAUUACUGGGUGUAAAGGGUGCGUAGGUGGCAUGGUAAGUCCGAAGUGAAAGCCCGGGGCUUAACCCCGGAACAGCUUUUGAAACUGUCAUGCUGGAGUGAAGGAGAGGUAAGCGGAAUUCCUAGUGUAGCGGUGAAAUGCGUAGAUAUUAGGAGGAACACCAGUGGCGAAGGCGGCUUACUGGACUGUCACUGACGCUGAUGCACGAAAGCGUGGGGAGCAAACAGGAUUAGAUACCCGAGUAGUC